rnacentral:rRNA from 1 species
CGGAGGAAAAGAAACUAACAAGGAYUCCCCUAGUAAGUGCGAGUGAAGCGGGAAAAGCUCAAAUUUGAAAUCUGGCAGUCUUUUUUUUCUUCUAUGGCUGUCCGAGUUGUAAUCUAGAGAAGCGCUUACCUGCGCUGGACCAUGUAUAAGUCUCCUGGAAUGGAGCGUCGCAGAGGGUGAGAAUCCCGUCUUUGACAUGGACUGCCAGCGUGUUGUGGUGCGCUCUCAAAGAGUCGAGUUGUUUGGGAAUGCAGCUCUAAACGGGUGGUAAACUCCAUCUAAAGCUAAAUAUUGGCGAGAGACCGAUAGCGAACAAGUACCGUGAGGGAAAGAUGAAAAGGACUUUGGAAAGAGAGUUAAACAGUAUGUGAAAUUGUUGAAAGGGAAACGCUUGAAGUCAGUUAUGUUGGCGAGGGAUCAGCCUAGCUUUUUGCCGGGUGAAUUUCCUGGUCUGACAGGCCAACAUCGGUCUCGACUGCUGGAAAAGAGCGGGGGGAAUGUGGCACCUUCGGGUGUGUUUAUAGCCCUUUGUUAUAUGCGGCGGUCGGGACCGAGGGAUGCAGCGUGCCGUGAAGGCUGGGUUUCGACCACGUUCACGCUUAGGAUGUUGGCUUUUAAUGGCUUCAAUCGACCCGUCUUGA